UACGAAGGGGGCUAGCGUUGCUCGGAAUCACUGGGCGUAAAGCGCGUGUAGGCGAUCCGGUAAGUCCGCUGUGAAAGUCGGGGGCCUCACCUCGGAUGCCGGUGGAUACUGUCGGGCUUGAGUACGGAAGAGGCGAGUGGAAUUCCUGGUGUAGCGGUGAAAUGCGCAGAUAUCAGGAGGAACACCAAUUGCGAAGGCAGCUCGCUGGGACGUUACUGACGCUGAGACGCGAAAGCGUGGGGAGCAAACAGG
rnacentral:rRNA from 1 species